UACGAACUGUGCAAACGUUAUUCGGAAUCACUGGGCUUAAAGGGUGCGUAGGCGGCCAGAUAAGUAGGGUGUGAAAGCCCCCGGCUCAACCGGGGAAUGGCGCUCUAAACUGUCUGGCUGGAGUGAGAUAGGGGUGUGCGGAACUUCCGGUGGAGCGGUGAAAUGUGUUGAUAUCGGAAGGAACGCCGGUGGCGAAAGCGGCACACUGGAUCUCAACUGACGCUGAGGCACGAAAGCCAGGGGAGCAAAC
rnacentral:rRNA from 1 species